rnacentral:ribozyme from 1 species
GUGCUCAAUAGAGGGAAACUAAAUGAUUUUCUGGAUAGGUUUAAUUAUGAUGUAUAAACUAUGAUUUUAUAUGGUCGAGUUUUUUCUUAUUGAUGGAGUAUAUCUAUCGUGAAGACGCAGCCAUACGUCGCCU